rnacentral:rRNA from 1 species
UACGGAGGGUGCAAGCGUUAUCCGGAUUCACUGGGUUUAAAGGGUGCGUAGGUGGGUUGGAAAGUCAGUGGUGAAAUCCCCGAGCUUAACUUGGGAACUGCCAUUGAUACUAUCAGUCUUGAAUAUCGUGGAGGUUAGCGGAAUAUGUCAUGUAGCGGUGAAAUGCUUAGAUAUGACAUAGAACACCAAUUGCGAAGGCAGCUGGCUACACGAAUAUUGACACUGAGGCACGAAAGCGUGGGGAUCAAACAGG